ACUAGAAUCACAUUUGGGUGAGUUACAAAUGCUCAAAAGGUGGAAUCACCCUGGGUAUGACAUAUUUAUUGCUUUGGUAUGGAACUAUUAUUGAGUUUAAAAACAAGUCCAAGUUAAAAACAAGGCAGAAAUUCCAAUUUUGCUAUGGUGAGGUCAGAUAACUACAGUCUUUCUUGCUUCUCACAACUAAUACUCUAGACAAAAACCAACUACCCCAGGACUCUGAAAAAUAUACAAAAGCAUAAGAAUUAUGGAAGGGAGAUAAAACUUGGAGAAGCAACCUACAAGAAACCUCUCUCAGCAAUUGAUAGAAUAAGUAGACAAAAAUUUCAGUAAGGAUAUAGAAGACCUGAGUGACACCAUCAACCAGAACUGGACCUAAUUGACAUUGAUAGAAGCAAAAUUUAUGUUCUUUAAGUGUGCUUACCAAGAUAAACUUUAUCCUGGAUCAUCAUAAUAAUCUUAUCUAAUGUCUAAGAAUUCAAUAACUUAAAAAUGUUAAAGUAAAAGAAAGCAAUAAAAGAAAUUAUUUAGCUAUAAGGGUAUUACAUUAUAGAUCAGUAACAGACAUCUGGAAAACAACAUAUAUUUAGAAAUUAAACAACACUUCUAGUAACCCAUUGGAAGUCAGGAGGGAAAAUAGUAGAUUGAGUGAAAAUAAAAACAACAUGGUGUAUAAAUGCCACAUUUUGUGUAACUGAUGUGAUUCUGCAAUCUGUAUUUGGGGUAAAAUUGGGAGUUCAUAACCAACUUGAAUCUAAUGUAUGAAAUAUGAUAUGUCAAUAGCUUUAUAAUGUUUUGAACAACCAAUAAAACAAAGAAUGCAAAGAAAAU
rnacentral:lncRNA from 1 species